rnacentral:rRNA from 1 species
AACAAACGCUGGCGGCGUGCCUAAUACAUGCAAGUCGAACGGGGAAAGUCCUUCGGGACAAGUACUAGUAGCGCACGGGUGAGUAACACGUGGAUAAUCUGCCUUCUGAUGGGGAAUAACUAGCCGAAAGGUUAGCUAAUACCGCAUAAGACCACAGUGUCUUCGGACACAGGGGUUAAAGAUUUAUCGUCAGAAGAUGAGUCCGCGUCCGAUUAGCUAGUUGGUAGGGUAACGGCCUACCAAGGCGAUGAUCGGUAGCUGGUCUGAGAGGAUGAUCAGCCACACUGGAACUGAGACACGGUCCAGACUCCUACGGGAGGCAGCAGUAGGGAAUAUUGCACAAUGGAGGAAACUCUGAUGCAGCGACGCCGCGUGAGUGAUGAAGGCCUUCGGGUUGUAAAGCUCUGUUCUACGGGAAGAAAAAAAUGACGGUACCGUAGAAGAAAGGACCGGCUAACUUCGUGCCAGCAGCCGCAGUAACAC